rnacentral:tRNA from 1 species
UCCGAUAUGGUGUAGUGCCUAACAUCUGGCACUCUCACGGAGGACCCCUCCUGAGGUCUGCCAAGCCCGGGGUUCGAUUCCCCGUAUCGGAG